rnacentral:rRNA from 1 species
UACGAAGGGGGCUAGCGUUGUUCGGAAUCACUGGGCGUAAAGCGCACGUAGGCGGAUCUUUAAGUCAGGGGUGAAAUCCCGAGGCUCAACCUCGGAACUGCCUUUGAUACUGGGGGAUCUCGAGUCCGGGAGAGGUGAGUGGAACUGCGAGUGUAGAGGUGAAAAUUCGUAGAUAUUCGCAAGAACACCCCUGGCGAAGGCGGCUCACUGGGCUGACCUUGACGCUGAGGCGCGA